ACUAAACCUUUCGGGAAGGGAGGAGCGAGGGAGGGAAAAGAAAGAAGAGUGUUAACCAUCCUGAAAGCACUUCAAACACCCACCCCAAUACACAGCACAACAAAACACCGAGCAAAAGACUCUGUUUGCAUCUGCAGAAAAUCAAGGCAGAGCAGCCUGAUGGGAGUGCAUGUCAGAAUGUUGUUAGGGAUGGAGUCAUUGCAAUCUCAAGCGGUUUGGCUAGGGAAGCUUCAGGUCCUUUCACACGAACCCUGCUCUGCUCAGACUGCACAGAACACUCCUGCUUGCACAGGACUGCCUCUGCCUCUCCCACAAAAACUUCAUCAUGCUCAAAUGAGGCUCUCAGAGUUAAUUGGCAAGAUUGACUCUCAAGGUCUUGCACACCCAAAUCAGUGGCCUCAGUUGCCCGUGUAAAAUAACCCCUCUCCCUGUCUGGUUUCAUUGUACUCUUCCCCAGUGCAAGUGAGCAGCACUGAGCCUCAGGGAGAGCAAGUGGAACUUCCACAGUGUUGGACAGUUUAAUUCACCUCCAGCAAGCCUCCAUUUAAUCCCAGCCUCUGGAGCCUGGAGAAGGAAUCCCUUCAUUCCUAAUGCUCACUGGAGAGCUGUGAUGGCUCAGCUGUGUGUGAUCUGCUUUCAGACUGCUCAGUCAGGACAUUGGGAAAUGGAGUUGGGAUCUCACAACCUCGAAUUCUUUGCUGGGAAUGGUGGAGCAAAGGGACAUCUAUUCCUCUGCUCCUGGGAAAGAGCUGUUGGCUGAGCUGUGGGUCAGAGCUGAGGCUGCUGUGCAAUUUGGGUAAGAAGAUCCUGUGCUUCUCCUCUCCAGACAUCCUCCACCAGUUCUAAUUCCUACAAGACACCUGUCCUGUGAAAGAGUCUUCAAACCCUCACACUGGAGCAGAGAUGUGAAACCACAGUUCCACAGGGACAUGGUGAACUAGGAACCAGCAUGAUUAAAAAAUGGUAUGUAUCAUGCAGUUUAUUUUCCUGUUAAAACCUGUUUAGACUGAAGUAGAUUGUUUAAACACUCCCUGAGCCACUUGAUGACCCUCAGAGAAGCUGACAGAGUGGAGCAGAGGUGGUUGACUGGCAGAGAGAUCAGCUGACAUGUUCAGGAAACUUUUUAACACUUACAAGAACUUCAGAAACAUCUACACAGAACAACUUGUACAAUGACACUGGGUCUGUUCAGUAUCCGCUUCAUGCAGCCUUUGGUAAAUAUCCAGCAUAUUUGUAUCUAUUCUCUAGACCUUCUUUUUUCGUACUCCUGAGCCUUAUCAAGGCUUUGUACAUUAAAUGUCUUUUAUCUUCCUUUUCA